rnacentral:rRNA from 1 species
AGUUCUUCGGAAUUAGAGACCGGCGCACGGGUGCGUAACGCGUAUGCAAUCUACCUUUUACAGAGGGAUAGCCCAGAGAAAUUUGGAUUAAUACCUCAUAGUAUGUGAGAAUGGCAUCAUUUUCACAUUAAGUCACAACGGUAAAAGAUGAGCAUGCGUCCCAUUAGCUAGUUGGUAAGGUAACGGCUUACCAAGGCUACGAUGGGUAGGGGUCCUGAGAGGGAGAUCCCCCACACUGGUACUGAGACACGGACCAGACUCCUACGGGAGGCAGCAGUGAGGAAUAUUGGACAAUGGGCGCAAGCCUGAUCCAGCCAUGCCGCGUGCAGGAUGACGGUCCUAUGGAUUGUAAACUGCUUUUGUACGGGAAGAAACACUCCUUCGUGAAGGAGCUUGACGGUACCGUAAGAAUAAGGAUCGGCUAACUCCGUGCCAGCAGCCGCGGUAAUACGGAGGAUCCAAGCGUUAUCCGGAAUCAUUGGGUUUAAAGGGUCCGUAGGCGGUUUAGUAAGUCAGUGGUGAAAGCCCAUCGCUCAACGGUGGAACGGCCAUUGAUACUGCUAGACCUGAAUUAUUAGGAAGUAACUAGAAUAUGUAGUGUAGCGGUGAAAUGCUUAGAGAUUACAUGGAAUACCAAUUGCGAAGGCAGGUUACUACUAAUGGAUUGACGCUGAUGGACGAAAGCGUGGGUAGCGAACAGGAUUAGAUACCCUGGUAGUCCACGCCGUAAACGAUGGAUACUAGCUGUUGGGAGCGAUCU